rnacentral:rRNA from 1 species
UACGUAGGGUGCAAGCGUUGUCCGGAAUUAUUGGGCGUAAAGAGCUCGUAGGCGGUUUGUCGCGUCUGCUGUGAAAACUCGGGGCUUAACUCCGGGCCUGCAGUGGGUACGGGCAGACUAGAGUGCGGUAGGGGAGACUGGAAUUCCUGGUGUAGCGGUGAAAUGCGCAGAUAUCAGGAGGAACACCAAUGGCGAAGGCAGCUCGCUGGGACGGUACUGACGCUGAGACGCGAAAGCGUGGGGAGCAAACAGG